rnacentral:rRNA from 1 species
AUUGAACGCUGGCGGCAUGCUUUACACAUGCAAGUCGAACGGUAACAGGCCUUCGGGUGCUGACGAGUGGCGAACGGGUGAGUAAUGCAUCGGAACGUGCCCAAUCGUGGGGGAUAACGUAGCGAAAGUUACGCUAAUACCGCAUAAGCCCUGAGGGGGAAAGUGGGGGACCGCAAGGCCUCACGCGAAUGGAGCGGCCGAUGUCAGAUUAGCUAGUUGGUGGGGUAAAGGCCCACCAAGGCGACGAUCUGUAGCGGGUCUGAGAGGAUGAUCCGCCACACUGGGACUGAGACACGGCCCAGACUCCUACGGGAGGCAGCAGUAGGGAAUAUUGGACAAUGGGCGCAAGCCUGAUCCAGCCAUGCCGCGUGAGUGAAGAAGGCCUCGGUUGUAAGACUCUUCUAGCCGGGAAGAAACGACAUAGGGUU